UUUUAAUGAGAGUUUGAUCCUGGCUCAGGACGAACGCUGGCGGCGUGCCUAAUACAUGCAAGUAGAACGCUGAUGUUUGGUGUUUACACUAGACUGAUGAGUUGCGAACGGGUGAGUAACGCGUAGGUAACCUGCCUCAUAGCGGGGGAUAACUAUUGGAAACGAUAGCUAAUACCGCAUAAGAGUAUUAACACAUGUUAGUUAUUUAAAAGGAGCAAUUGCUUCACUGUGAGAUGGACCUGCGUUGUAUUAGCUAGUUGGUGAGGUAAAGGCUCACCAAGGCGAC
rnacentral:rRNA from 1 species